rnacentral:rRNA from 1 species
GACGAACGUUGGCGGCGUGCUUAAUACAUGCAAGUCAACUGAAGCAGUGGUAGCAAUAUCGCUGUGGAGGUGGCGCACGGGUGAGUAACACGUAGGUAAUCUGCCUUCAGGUCUGGCAUAACUCCGGGAAACCGGGGCUAAUAGCAGAUGAUGCAGCGGCUCGACAUCGAGACAGUUGUUAAAGCUAUGGCGCCUGAAGAUGAGCCUGCGUCUGAUUAGCUAGUUGGCGGGGUAACGGCCCACCAAGGCAACGAUCAGUAGCUGGUCUGAGAGGAUGAUCAGGCACACUGGAACUGAGACACGGUCCAGACUCCUACGGGAGGCAGCAGUAAGGAAUAUUGCUCAAUGGGAGAAAUCCUGAAGCAGCAACGCCGCGUGAGGGACGAAGGGCUUUUGCUUGUAAACCUCUGUAGUGAGAGAAAAAAAUCCCAAUCUUUGGGACAUGAUGGUACCUCAAAAGUAAGCCCCGGCUAACUACGUG